rnacentral:rRNA from 1 species
UACGUAGGGUGCAGGCGUUAAUCGGAAUUACUGGGCGUAAAGCGUGCGCAGGCGGUUUGCUAAGACAGGUGUGAAAUCCCCGGGCUUAACCUGGGAACUGCGCUUGUAACUGGCAAGCUUGAGUGUGGCAGAGGGGGGUGGAAUUCCACGUGUAGCAGUGAAAUGCGUAGAGAUGCGGAGGAACACCGAUGGCGAAGGCAGCCCCCUGGGCUAACACUGACGCUCAGGCACGAAAGCGUGGGGAGCAAACAGG